GGCAAGGUGGCCGAGUGGCAAGGCGACAGACUGCUAAUCUGUUGGGGUUUCCCCGCGUGAGUUCGAAUCUCACCCUUGUCG